rnacentral:rRNA from 1 species
GACGAACGCUGGCGGCGUGCUUAACACAUGCGAGUCGAACGGAAAGGCCCUGCUUUUGUGGGGGGCUAGCGUGGCGAAAGGGUGAGUAACACGUGAGUAAACUGCCCUUGACUUUGGGAUAACUUCAGGAAACUGGGGCUAAUAACGGAUAGGAGCUCCUGCUGCAUGGUGGGGGUUGGAAAGUUUAGGCGGUUGGUGAUGGACUGGCGGGUUAUCAGCUUGUUGGUGGGGUAGUGGCUUACCAAGGCUUUGACGGGUAGCCGGCCUGAGAGGGUGACCGGCCACAUUGGGACUGAGAGACGGCCCAGACUCCUACGGGAGGCAGCAGUGGGGAAUAUUGCACAAUGGGCGGAAGCCUGAUGCAGCAACUCCGCGUGCGGGAUGACGGCCUUCGGGUUGUAAACCGCUUUCGCCUGUGACGAAGCGUGAGUGACGGUAAUGGGUAAAGAAGCACCGGCUAACUACGUG